AUACGAAAGGUGCAAGCGUUGUUCGGAUUUACUGGGCGUAAAGAGAUCGUAGGUGGGUCAUUAAGUCGGAUGUGAAAUCCCGGGGCUCAACCUCGGAACUGCAUUCGAUACUGGUAGACUAGAGUUUGGGAGGGGUAAGCGGAAUUCCGUGUGUAGCAGUGAAAUGCGUAGAUAUACGGAGGAACACCUGAGGCGAAGGCGGCUUACUGGACCAAUACUGACACUGAGGAUCGAAAGCGUGGGUAGCAAACAGGAUUAGAUACCCUAGUAGUCC
rnacentral:rRNA from 1 species